rnacentral:tRNA from 1 species
GCCCAGGUGGCUCAGUGGGUUGGGCGUCUGACUUCGGCUCAGAUCAUGAACUCACAGCUCAUGAGUUCAAGCCCCACAUUGGGCU